UUCAAAUUUCCAAAAAACCGCACUCGGCAACGGGACGGCCGGGGCAUCUUCUCAAAACAUCAACCGGCUCGGAUUAACGGGACGCAGAGCUCCCGCCCAGGCCCUCUGGGAGCCCACCAGCUCCUCCCUCUGCGAUGGUUUUUGUUAAGCGCUUCCGACGUGCCAAGCACUCUUCUAAGCGCUGGGAGAGGUACAAGCUUGUCCCACGUGGGGCUCACGGUCUUCCCAUUUUACCGACGAGGUAACUGAGGCACAGAGAAGUUCAUAAUAAUGUUGGUAUUUGUUAAGCGCUUACUAUGUGCCGAGCACUGUUCUAAGCGCUGGGGUAGACACAGGGGAAUCAAGUUGUCCCACGUGGGGCUCACAGUCUUCAUCUCCAUUUUACAGAUGAGGUAACUGAGGCACAGAGAAGUUGAGUGACUUGCCCAAAGUCACACAGGGGAGAAGUGGCACAGGCGGGAUUAGAACCCACGACUUUUGAGUCUUAAGCCCCCACUAAGCCACCCUGCUUCUCUUUUCUCCCCUUGCAUCAGCGUUUGGGGGGACAGAGGAGAGACCCCGGUUUAAGUGUGACAAUUCUUCGUCCACGCCAGUUGGCAUGUAAAGGAUGGAUCGACUGCAUUCCGUGGGCCGAGCGCUAUACUGGCUUCUCCUACGUGCAGGGAGGCUGUACUGGACGCUCAGGAGCCUGACCAGUAGAAGGGGAAGACGGACCCUCACCUUCAGGCGGGGAUUCCGGUCGGGGCCUCCUCGUCCGGGAAGGAGCGACGCGCGUGGUGUGGGAAAGCAGCGUGGCUCAGUGGAAAGAGCCCGGGCUUGGGAGUCUGAGGUCAUGGGUUCUAAUCCCUGCUCCGCCGCUUGCCAACUGGGUGACUGUGGGCAAGUCACUUAACUUCUCUGUGCCUCAGAUACCUCGGAUUAAGACUGUGAGCCCCACCUGGGACAACCUGAUCACCUUGUAUCCCCCCAGAGCUUAGAAGAGUGUUUUGCACUUAUUUGUAAGCGCUUAACAAAUACCACUAUUAGAGCGACCGGUCCUGGGGUCGCUGGGCUGGCCGGCGACGGGUGCGGUGGGCCUGCAGGAUCCCAGUUUCGUCCUCUGGGAUAGCUGGAAAAACAUCCCCUGUUUCCCCCGAGCUCCCCUCUCUCGCUGCCCCUUGAUGGGUUCACCAAGUAAUUGCGGCAUCGACGAAGCUCUGAGGCCCAGAGAGGGUAAGGGACUUGUCGGAUGUCACAGAGCAGGCCAAGGGCAGAGCUGGGAUUAAUGAUGAUAAUUAUAAUUGUUAAGCGUUUACUAUGGGCCAACCGCUGUACUAAGCGCUGGGGUGGAUGCAAGCAGAUCAGGUUGUGUCUGAUCCCUGUCCCACGUGAGGCAAACAGUUUCAAUCCCCAUUUUACAGAUGAAGUAACUAGGGUCAGAGAAGUAAAGGGACUUGUAGAAGCAGCCUGGCUUGGUGGAAAGAGCGUGGGCUUGGGAGUCAGAGGACGUGGGUUCUAAUCCCGGCUCUGCCACUUGCCUGCUGUGUAACCUUGGGCAAGCCGCUUCACUUCUCUGUGCCUCAGUGACCUCAUCUGUAAAAUGGGGAUUAAGACUGUGAGCUCCACGGGGGACAACCCGAUUAUCUUGUAUCUAGCCCUGCGCUUAGAACAGUGCUUGACACAUAGUAAGUGCUUAACAAAUAGUGUAUUAUUAUUUACCCGAGGUCACCCAGCAGACGUGUGGCAGAGCCGGGAUUGGAACUCGGGAUCUUCUGACUCCAAAGCCCGUGCUCUAUCCACUAGGCCAAAUCUGAACGCUUCUUCCCAUAUUUUAUAAUGGCAUUCAGGAAACGCUCUGCACACAUCAGGCACCCAGUACAGUGCUCUGCACAGAGGAGUCCAGGACCCUCCCCUCCCUGGUUGUGCUCAGGCCAAGCUCCC
rnacentral:lncRNA from 1 species